rnacentral:rRNA from 1 species
GAAACGACUGCUAAGACUGGAUAGGAGACAAGAAGGCAUCUUCUUGUUUUUAAAAGACCUAGCAAUAGGUAUGCUUAGGGAGGAGCUUGCGUCACAUUAGUUAGUUGGUGGGGUAAAGGCCUACCAAGACUAUGAUGUGUAGCCGGGCUGAGAGGUUGAACGGCCACAUUGGGACUGAGACACGGCCCAAACUCCUACGGGAGGCAGCAGUAGGGAAUUUUCGGCAAUGGAGGAAACUCUGACCGAGCAACGCCGCGUGAACGAUGAAGUAUUUCGGUACGUAAAGUUCUUUUAUUAGGGAAGAAUAAAUGAUGGAAAAAUCAUUCUGACUGUACCUAAUGAAUAAGCCCCGGCUAACUAUGUGCCAGCAGCCGCGGUAAUACAUAGGGGGCAAGCGUUAUCCGGAAUUAUUGGGCGUAAAGGGUGCGUAGGCGGUUAAAUAAGUUUAUGGUCUAAGUGCAAUGCUCAACAUUGUGAUGCUAUAAAAACUGUUUAGCUAGAGUAAGAUAGAGGCAAGUGGAAUUCCAUGUGUAGUGGUAAAAUGCGUAAAUAUAUGGAGGAACACCAGUAGCGAAGGCGGCUUGCUGGGUCUUUACUGACGCUGAGGCACGAAAGCGUGGGGAGCAAACAGGAUUAGAUACCCUGGUAGUCCACGCCGUAAACGAUGAGUACUAAACGUUGGGUAAAACCAGUGUUGAAGUUAACACAUUAAGUACUCCGCCUGAGUAGUACGUACGCAAGUAUGAAACUUAAAGGAAUUGACGGGACUCCGCACAAGCGGUGGAUCAUGUUGUUUAAUUUGAAGGUACCCGAAAAACCUCACCAGGUCUUGACAUGCUUUUGCAAAGCUGUAGAAACACAGUGGAGGUUAUCAGUUGCACAGGUGGUGCAUGGUUGUUGUCAGCUCGUGUCGUGAGAUGUUGGGUUAAGUCCCGCAACGAGCGCAACCCUUAUUGUUAGUUACCAGCACGUAAUGGUGGGGACUUUAGCAAGACUGCCAGUGAUAAAUUGGAGGAAGGUGGGGACGACGUCAAAUCAUCAUGCCCCUUAUGACCUGGGCUACAAACGUGAUACAAUGGCUGUUACAAAGGGUAGCUGAAGCGCAAGUUUUUGGCGAAUCUCAAAAAAACAGUUUCAGUUCGGAUUGAAGUUUGCAACUUGACUUCAUGAAGUUGGAAUCGCUAGUAAUCGCGAAUCAGCAUGUCGCGGUGAAUACGUUCUCGGGGUUUGUACACACCGCCCGUCA